ACGGAAGGCAGCAGUGGGGAAUAUUGCACAAUGGGGGAAACCCUGAUGCAGCGACGCCGCGUGAGUGAAGAAGUAUUUCGGUAUGUAAAGCUCUAUCAGCAGGAAAGAAAAUGACGGUACCUGACUAGGAAGCCCCGGCUAACUACGUGCCAGCAGCCGCGGUAAUACGUAGGGGGCAAGCGUUAUCCGGAUUUACUGGGUGUAAAGGGAGCGUAGACGGCUUUGCAAGUCUGAAGUGAAAGCCCGGGGCUCAACCCCGGAACUGCUUUGGAAACUGUAGAGCUAGAGUGCAGGAGAGGUAAGUGGAAUUCCUAGUGUAGCGGUGAAAUGCGUAGAUAUUAGGAGGAACACCAGUGGCGAAGGCGGCUUACUGGACUGUAACUGACGUUGAGGCUCGAAGGCGUGGGGAGCAAACAGGAUUAGAUACCCUGGUA
rnacentral:rRNA from 1 species